rnacentral:tmRNA from 1 species
GAUCCUUAGUUGUGUAUUGAGUCGAAAAACAAGCUAAGGAUAAGCAUGUAGAAAGCAAAUUAAUUCCUCGUUUGGACGAGGGUUCGAGUCCCUCCAACUCCACAA